rnacentral:rRNA from 1 species
AGAGUUUGAUCAUGGCUCAGAAUGAACGUUGGCGGCGUGGAUUAGGCAUGCAAGUCGAGCGCGAUAUGUAGCAAUACAUGGAGAGCGGCGAAAGGGAGAGUAAUACGUAGGUAUCUACCCUCGGGUCUGGGAUAGCAGCGGGAAACUGCUGGUAAUACCAGAUAACGUCUCCGGACCAAAGGUGUGAUUCCACCUGAGGAGGAGCCUACGGCCUAUUAGCUAGUUGGUAGGGUAACGGCCUACCAAGGCAAAGAUGGGUAUGGGGUGUGAGAGCAUGCCCCCACUCACUGGGACUGAGACACUGCCCAGACACCUACGGGUGGCUGCAGUCGAGAAUCUUCGGCAAUGGGCGAAAGCCUGACCGAGCGACACCGCGUGCGGGAUGAAGGCCUUCGGGUUGUAAACCGCUGUCGUAGUGGAGGAAAUGUAGGAGAGUUAUCUCUUCUACUUGACUAAUACUAGGAGGAAGGACCGGCUAAUCUCGUG